GACGAACGCUGGCGGCGUGCUUAACACAUGCAAGUCGAACGGUGAAGCGCCUUCCUUUUUGGUGGGUGUGGAUGAGUGGCGAACGGGUGAGUAACACGUGAGUAACCUGCCCCCUUCUUCUGGAUAACCGCAUGAAAGUGUGGCUAAUACGGGAUAUUCUGGGUCUGUCGCAUGAUGGGUCUGGGAAAGAUAUUGUUUCGGUGGGGGAUGGGCUCGCGGCCUAUCAGCUUGUUGGUGGGGUGAUGGCCUACCAAGGCGGUGACGGGUAGCCGGCCUGAGAGGGUGGACGGUCACACUGGGACUGAGACACGGCCCAGACUCCUACGGGAGGCAGCAGUGGGGAAUAUUGCACAAUGGGCGCAAGCCUGAUGCAGCGACGCCGCGUGAGGGAUGGAGGCCUUCGGGUUGUGAACCUCAUUCGCCAGUGAAGCAGGCCUGCCUCGUUUGUGGGUGGGUUGACGGUAGCUGGAUAAGAAGCGCCGGCUAACUACGUG
rnacentral:rRNA from 1 species